UGACGUUGCGUGUUUUGUUGAAAUUAAUUUCACUUUUACUGUUUGUUAAGUUUAGUCAUUAAAUAUUACAGAGUCUGCAACUUUUGACAUGGGUAUACGCCGUACUUAGUGGUUAGUAACUAGCGGUAAGGCAAUCUAUGGAAGACAUCAUCUUCGGACCCAUGUCUAAAAGAAAAAAGGUGAUUAUAUUUUGUAAAUGCAACUCAACUCAUCAAAAAUACUACGAAAACCAGGGAAAUGAGCAAAAAGACAGAAUUUGGAGAAACGAGUACAUCUCUCUCUGGCUCUCCUGAUUGGUGCCUGUUACGCUGAUAAUGGCGUGUGCUACAUGUCAAACGGUUCAAUAGGGAAAUGUGUAAAACCAGGACAAUGUAAGGCACCUGAUCUUGGUAUCUUAGAUGUGCACAGGACAAUAAAAUUGGUGUGCCAAACGGGAGAACAAUGCUGUGAUUUUAGAGAUAUUAUCGAAUCCCCUAAUUCGCCCAUCAACGUUAACAAUUAUAUAAAAACAUUAAAUACUAAUAUAAAUUUGAAUUAUAAUUAUUUCAUAUAUAAAAACAAUUUUCAGCAAUAUCGCAUAUAGUAGAAUUUUGGGUUUUAAGUUAAAUAAAAUAAUUACUAAUCUGCUGUAUAACACACAAUCUGCAAAGUUAUUCCUACUGAAGUACUACCUAAUCCAGAAAUUAAGUUUUGUUACAAAUGUAAAUACACUUUUUUAAAUGAAAUAAUGUAAUAUUAUUAAAAUGUAUAUAUUUGUUAAAGUCUCAAUAAAGAGCAAAAAAUAUUCUAUUUGAAAUGGCCACCUUUGGUUUUUAUACAGGCUUUUGACCUGUUUGGCCACAAAUGUAUUGAUGUACGCACUGUUUUCAAGGGAAAUUUCGCCACUUGAAAGAUUUUUCAAAAGACUCAAGGUUGCCAUGUCGUAUAGAGCAGGUCAUGUUCUGACCAUAAUUUGAAGUCUAAAUGGUUGAGGUCAGCUCUAGAUGAGGGCCAGCCAGGCUUGAGUAGUAAGACCUAGGAUUUUCGUGAUUGGUACCCUCACUGCCAUGGUUAAUCUAUGAUAUCGUUAAGUGUAAACUCUAUAAGGACGGUUGAAUAACUCUCUAUGGGACCUUACAUUUUUUGACUUUGCAAAGAGUUGCCGGAUUAGAUGGAAAGAAUAAACAUCUUUAUUGGAAAAAUAAAAAAAUAUGUCAAACCAGUCUUCGUAAUUACAUAAAAAACAAUUCUUAUUUGAAAGACUACCAGAAAAUAUGUUUUUUUUUUAAUUUUGGAUGUUUUUGUUUUAUUUACCUUGUUCAUAUAUUGAGCUCAAUUUGGUAUAUAUGUUCUUUAUUUUAUUAAUAUCUUGGGAUAUUGAGGCAUCUUCGUGAUUAACGUUUAAAUUAUCCCAAUUUGUAAACAAAAGAACGGAUAGUUUGAAACGAUACCUAGGUAACACUGAAAUUGGUUAGAAAAAACGACUUAAUGUAAAAAGUUAAAGUAAUCUAAAAUGUGUAAUGUGGUAUUUGUUUUGGGUCAUAUAAAGAAACUUUUUUUUUAUUUAUUUAUUUAAUCUUCGUUUAUCUCUACACAUCAUAAUAAAUUGAUUAAUAAUUGACACCAAUUCACAAAAACAAAUGACAAAUGCAUUAGGUUACCAAAGAGUUCUAAAAUUGAAAUUAAAAAAAUAGUUUUCAUUUGCAAUGUUUCUAACUGGCCAGUACUAAACAUUUUCAGUGUUGCCCACGUACCGAUAGUCGAGUUUAUUAAUGUAUUAUUUUAGUGGGUGUAAUUGUAUGUAGAAUCGUGUAUAAUUGUGUAUAAUUGUAUAGAAUACAAGCUAAACCAAAGCCGAGGAUUUCGACGCAUUCCUGUGUGUUUACCGUGUAACCAAUGUUAACAUAGUAAAUUAUGGAAUU